rnacentral:rRNA from 1 species
AUUGAACGCUGGCGGCAGGCCUAACACAUGCAAGUCGAGCGGAUGAAGGGAGCUUGCUCCUGGAUUCAGCGGCGGACGGGUGAGUAAUGCCUAGGAAUCUGCCUGGUAGUGGGGGAUAACGUCCGGAAACGGGCGCUAAUACCGCAUACGUCCUGAGGGAGAAAGUGGGGGAUCUUCGGACCUCACGCUAUCAGAUGAGCCUAGGUCGGAUUAGCUAGUUGGUGGGGUAAAGGCCUACCAAGGCGACGAUCCGUAACUGGUCUGAGAGGAUGAUCAGUCACACUGGAACUGAGACACGGUACAGACUCCUACGGGAGGAAGCAGUGGGGAAUAUUGGACAAAGGGCGAAAGCCUGAUCCAGCCAUGCCGCGUGUGUGAAGAAGGUCUUCGGAUUGUAAAGCACUUUAAGUUGGGAGGAAGGGAAGUAAGUUAAUAUCUUGCUGUUUUGACGUUACCAACAGAAUAAGCCCCGGCUAACUUCGUG